UGAUCCUGCCGGAGGUCACUGCUAUCGGGGUUCGAUUAAGCCAUGCGAGUCGAGAGGGUUCGGCCCUCGGCGUACUGCUCAGUAACACGUGGAUAACCUGCCCUAAGGAAGGGAAUACCCCCGGGAAACUGGGGAUAAUGCCCUAUAGGUUACCGAUGCUGGAAUGCUCGGUAACCGAAAGUUCCGGCGCCUUAGGAUGGAUCUGCGGCCGAUUAGGUUGUUGUCGGGGUAACGGCCCAACAAGCCGAUAAUCGGUACGGGUUGUGGGAGCAAGAGCCCGGAGUUGGAUUCUGAGACACGAAUCCAGGCCCUACGGGGCGCAGCAGGCGCGAAAACUUUACAAUGCGGGCAACCGUGAUAAGGGAACCUCGAGUGCCUGUAUAUGCAGGCUGUCCAGGUGUCUAAAACACACCUGGAGAAAGGGCCGGGCAAGACCCGGUGCCAGCCGCCGCGGUAAUACCGGCGGCUCGAGUGGUGGCCACUUUUAUUGGGCUUAAAGCGUUCGUAGCUGGGUCGUUAAGUCUCUUGGGAAAUCCGGCAGCUUAACUGUCGGGCGUCUAAGAGAUACUGGCGAUCUUGGAACCGGGAGAGGUGAGGGGUACUUCAGGGGUAGGAGUGAAAUCCUGUAAUCCUUGAGGGACCACCUGUGGCGAAGGCGCCUCACCAGAACGGCUUCGACAGUGAGGGACGAAAGCUGGGGGAGCAAACCGGAUUAGAUACCCGGGUAGUCCCAGCCGUAAACGAUGUGCGUUAGGUGUAUCGAUGACCACGAGUCAUCGAGGUGCCGAAGGGAAACCGUGAAACGUACCGCCUGGGAAGUACGGUCGCAAGGCUGAAACUUAAAGGAAUUGGCGGGGGAGCACCACAACAGGUGGAGCCUGCGGUUUAAUUGGAUUCAACGCCGGAAAUCACUAGUGAAUU
rnacentral:rRNA from 1 species